CACCACAGGUUCUGUACCGGAAACAGAAUUGAUUAGUUCACCUCUGGAGUUUUUGGUUCACUUCACAGCCCCACUGCCUUCGGAAUAUGGGGCAGUCACAUGAUGAACGAAUGCCUCGAACCUGAAGACUUGAAACGUGAACUAAUCAAAUGUGACGUGACAAAAGAAGAACGAUUCGGAUCGGGAGGAGCUGAGUGCUUCCAGAGGCUGCGGGAGGUCCUUUGCUGCACCUUGGGCUUUACUUAAUUAAGGGUUGUUAUUAUUGCUGUGUUUAUUUGCAGUGAAUUUUGUGGGUAUGAUUCUGAUUAGUGGGGUGAUUUUCCCUUUUGUACAGCUGGUGCUGUCGUGCUAGCCUGCCCUUCACACAGGAAGCCUCAGUCUUCCUAUGAUUAUUGUUCAUUUUCUCUUGUGACUGUUUUAUUUGACCAACGCCUGACUGUGUUGGCUGCUUUUUUUAAAAAAAAAUUCUUGGCCAGUUUUUUUAACUUCAAAAUAAAAUGUAUUUUUGUAUGGAAACCCAUGCGUCUUGCCUAUUCUAAGUGGAACGUAUUUGUGUGUCUAUAUUUGGGUUAUUUUCCCCGUUUCCUCGGGGUGGCGUAGUUGUUGUAAAACGAGCCACAUUGCUGCACUCCCUCAUUAGCUUUGCUUACAAUAUCAAUAUGUAUAUGAACGGCUAGCCAUGAAAUAUAUCAAGAGAUUUGGUGAGAAUCUAUUACUUUGGUCCUGAUCGUGCUUGUGUACACUGUUUAUUACAUUUUUUAAUGACUUUUUUUUCUUUUCUUCAUAGAAUUAUUUCAGGCACAGAAGUAACUUUGUCUUUUUGUCAUAACCAAUAUGUAAAAAAUAUUAAACUUGCAUUUUUUGUUCUUUUACCUAAAGUAAAGUGUAACUUUAUGCACUUGGCAGCAGUGCUGUAGUACUUUGGAAUGGAACCUUAUGACCUUUGACCCGCACUGUGAAAAUUCAAAUGCCUUUUUUUUCAGUGUUGUUUGACAUGUUUCUGUGUUAUGUUUGUUUGAUGUUCUGUAAUGACUGAAUGUCAGCGCAGAAUUCACCAGACUUGUGUCAAUGGACCUGAGCAAGUUCUUUUAUGAGGGUCUUGACAAACACGCCUCAAAGCUGCUGUAUUUGUACCGCACAAGGCGCUAUGCAGACAACACAGAAAUGAGUGCCACAGUGGAGAACCUGGAUAAAAAUGCAUCAAAUCAACGGAAGAGGGUUGCAGUACAGUUGGGGCUGCCACUGUCCAUGCGGGAGAAUCCAUCUCAGUUCAUAAAGAUCUGUGAGAUGAUACAUUUCAGGAAGUUGAAAACCCCAAAAACUUCAAAUACACGUUUGAGGUCAUUCAGAGGCUGUUCAUGAACAUUGGAGCUGACGCCUGCAGUGCACGAGUACAUUCACUUAAAAAUAAACUGCUGAAGUAGAGAUGGGUAUUAUGCAUUUCUGUAAAAGAGAUUUCACGUGGUGGUGUGUUAUGUGUAUGUUAGUUUCUAAGACAGUUUUGUUUUAUAUUUUCACCUUUAAACACUGGGCAAAUGAAAUGUAAUUUUGUUAGGCAAAAACAGAUUUCUGCUUGCACUUUCUGUUUAUUUUGAGAAAUUCAUGUCAUUUAAUGUGUGUGUUUUUUUUUUUUUUUUUUUUUUUACAAUUGUAAUAGAUUUCUAUUUACUCAAAUUGAUCUUACCACAUUAUAAAAACCUUUUGCUUAAAGAGUUAAAAGAAACACUGGCUAUUGUAGCUCUGGAUAUUUGAAUCUGUUUGACUUGUUCUGUUUACAUUUGUAAAUUUAUAAGUGAAACAAUUGAUCAAGUCUUUCAUAUGGAAAAUGGGUUGUUAUUUAUUUGGUUGAACUUGCUAAUGUAAGUUAGGAAAAUAAGCCACAUUAAGUUAAAUGAACUUGAAUUUUAGUACAGAUAGCUUGAAAAAGUUAAGUUCACCUUACUUUUAUAACAGUAUUUCAACUGUACUCGGGAAGUCUGCAUUACUUGAAAGAGUAGUUGGGUCAAUUAUUUAAUUAUGUCAACAAAACUUUUUAAGUUGAAAUUACUUAUUUUACAUAAAUACAACUUAAAGUCAAAGCAAAAAGACAACUCAAUAAGUUAAGUUGCGUGAACAAAUAUUUUUUACAGCGUAUGCAAUGGGGCCUUCACUACACCAAGUUCAAUACCUUGAACUA